AUUGAACGCCGGCGGCAUGCUUUACACAUGCAAGUCGAACGGCAGCGCGGGGCAACCUGGCGGCGAGUGGCGAACGGGUGAGUAAUACAUCGGAACGUACCCAGAAGUGGGGGAUAACGUAGCGAAAGUUACGCUAAUACCGCAUACGUUCUACGGAAGAAAGUGGGGGACCUUCGGGCCUCAUGCUUUUGGAGCGGCCGAUGUCUGAUUAGCUAGUUGGUGAGGUAAAGGCUCACCAAGGCGACGAUCAGUAGCUGGUCUGAGAGGACGACCAGCCACACUGGGACUGAGACACGGCCCAGACUCCUACGGGAGGCAGCAGUGGGGAAUUUUGGACAAUGGGCGCAAGCCUGAUCCAGCAAUGCCGAGUGAGUGAAGAAGGCCUUCGGGUUGUAAAGCUCUUUUGUCAGGGAAGAAACGGCUGAGGAUAAUACCUUCGGCUAAUGACGGUACCUGAAGAAUAAGCACCGGCUAACUACGUG
rnacentral:rRNA from 1 species